rnacentral:rRNA from 1 species
CUCAGUUCGGAUCGGAGUCUGNAACCCGACUCCGUGAAGCUGGAUUCGCUAGUAAUCGCGCAUCAACCAUGGCGCGGUGAAUACGUUCCCGGGCCUUGUACACACCGCCCGUCAAGCCAUGGGAGCCGGGAGUGCCUGAAGGCCGUGACCGCAAGGAGCGGCCUAAGGUAAAACUGGUGACUGGGGCUAAGUCGUAACAAGGUACC